AUGGACGGCGGGGGCGACGGGGCCCAGGGCCUGGAGGAGCAGGCGGCGGCGGCGGCCGAGGCGGCGCGGGAGCUGCGGGACGCGGCGGCGGCCCUCGCCGUGCGCCGCGCCGCCGACGAGGACGCGCUGCGCCGCCGCGCCGUCGCGCUGGACGCCGACGUCCGACGCCUCCAGGGCUCCCUCGCCCCCCUCGACCCCGCCACGCUCGACAAGGUCGAGGAGGAACUGGAGCGUGCCAGGGCAGCAAUCUUAGACGGCGACGUGGCUGCGUUUCUCCCAAGCAAGGGAAACGGAAAGUUCCUCAAGAAGUUUGUUGGCCCUGUGAAUGUGCGGGUGGCAAGGAAGGAGGAAAAGCUCAAAGUGAAGGACGAGUACAACAAUUAUAGGGAUAGGGCUGCCUAUAUGUUCCUGUUGUUUCCAUCCACUCUCCUCUUACUGAGAUGGUGGGUGUGGGAUGGGUGCCUUCCAGCAUUGGCAGUUCAGGUGUACCAGGCUUGGUUAUUAUUCCUCUACACAAGUUUUGCUUUGAGGGAGAAUGUGUUGCUUGUAAAUGGAAGCGAUAUCCGUCCUUGGUGGAUAUACCACCACUAUUUAGCAAUGCUAAUGGCUCUUGUUAGCCUUACAUGGGAGAUAAAGGGACAGCCUGAUUGCUCGAGUAAGCAGAGAGGGGUACAGCUUUUCUUGCGUUGGGCAAUCAUGCAAGGAAUUGCAAUGCAUCUCCAGAAUAGGUACCAGCGUCAAAGAUUACGCACCCGAAUUGCUCUGGGAAAGGCUAAAAGAAUGGAUGUCGUCGCUGGAGAAACAGCUGGUGUGGAAGGGCAGCUAUUGCUACUAUAUCCUGUUCUCUUUGUAUUACAGGGGUUUGAAGCAUAUGUUGGAGUGUUGCUUCUUCAGACCGCGUGGCACGGGCUCACCUCUGAAUGGCAGGUCAUAGUGUGUGGGAUCUUGCUGGUGGUGAUGGCGGUUGGUAACUUCGUCAACACGGUGGAGACUCUGGCCCUGAAACUGAGGUUCAAAGCAAAGAUGAAGAGGACGAGGCCCAGGCAGGACCCGGGCCAGGGCGGUGCGAAUCGCCUGCAUCAAAAUUGA
rnacentral:rRNA from 1 species